UCCCAGUUUCUGGUUCAAGCUCUCGAUUUGUUUCCUCAGUUUCCGUACUACUUCGAGUCGUCUACCCGCAACAGACUCUACAGCAUGCCUCAACCACUUCAUUGGAUGGUUUAUUCCACCUUGUUCUGAGCGUUGUUCCUGGUUCAUUAAUCAUCAAAUGAGCCCCGUCUAGUUCAGCAUGCAAAACUGACACGAUGGAUAUGCUUGAUGGUGGUUAAACUUCAUGGCUCCACAUGGGAUACAUAAUCUUCAGCAGUUCUU
rnacentral:lncRNA from 1 species